rnacentral:misc_RNA from 1 species
GAUGAAGAACGUAGCGAAAUGCGAUACUUGGUGUGAAUUGCAGAAUCCCGUGAACCAUCGAGUCUUUGAACGCAAGUUGCGCCCGAAGCCAUUAGGCCGAGGGCACGCCUGCCUGGGCGUCACACGUCGUUGCCCCCCCAUCUACUCCUUCGGGAUUGCGGGGGGCGGAUGAUGGCCUCCCGUGCGCCACGCCGCGCGGUUGGCAUAAAUGCCAAGUCCUCGGCGACGCACGCCACGACAAUCGGUGGUUGCGAAACCUCGGUUGCCCGUCGUGUGCGGUCGUCGCGCAUCGAGGGCUCGAAAAAAUUGCCGGGUUCCGGCUCGGCUUUCAACGCGACCCCAGGUCAGGCGGGGUUACCCGCUGAAUUUAAGCAUAUCAAUAAGCGGA